UACGAAGGGGGCUAGCGUUGCUCGGAAUCACUGGGCGUAAAGCGCACGUAGGCGGAUUGUUAAGUCAGGGGUGAAAUCCUGGAGCUCAACUCCAGAACUGCCUUUGAUACUGGCGAUCUCGAGUCCGGGAGAGGUGAGUGGAACUGCGAGUGUAGAGGUGAAAUUCGUAGAUAUUCGCAAGAACACCAGUGGCGAAGGCGGCUCACUGGCCCGAUACUGACGCUGAGGCACGGAAGCGUGGGGAGCAAACAGG
rnacentral:rRNA from 1 species